GUCUGCGAGGAGGCGGCGGACACCGCAGAGUUCAGGGCUAGACCCGUCCCUCCUGGAUCCAGGUCCCGGGAGAGCCUGAGGAGCGCCUCGGGCUCGCUCCAGGCCUCCCCCCGCCCCCGAGCGGCCUCUCCUCCUUUCCAGACACGGAGAAAAACGCUAAGUUGGAGUGUGGCAGCAACUGAAGUCAACCUCAGAAAGACAAGGCCAAGUGUCUUCAUGAGCUGAUGCUGCCAGGACCUGGAGGAGGUGACAGAAGAGGAGAAGAAAUUCAGGUCUUCCCUGAAGGACCCUCACCUGUGGAGAGGUCUUCCCAGUUCCCCUGGGGGAGACUGCCCUGCUUCCACCCUGGGAGAUCGUGUAGUUCCUGACUGGACAGAAAUCUGGCAUAUUUUCACACAUUCAAUGACCUUACCUCUGAAGGAGUAAAAGCUAGUGACCCUCAACACUCCAGGACCAGAGUUCAGGGCCAUGUUCUGGGUCGGUGACCCACCGGCAUCCCCAGAGUGAAGCUAAGAGGGGCCAAGAAGAUGUGUAGCUACGUUUAGAGACUGGUAGAGUGUUAGGAGAGCCAUGAAAAGUUCUCCUGCCUCCCCCAGCAGCUCGGCGCUCCACAGUGUCAUGAGUCUCCAGCAUUGCUUUCCUGGGGAGCAAGUAGCACCUGUCACCACAUCUCCGUCUUCUUGCCCAGUGUUUUCUGGGUCAGAUUUUAGUCUGUUGUGAAAUUUAAUUAGUAAGGUUGAAAUGUUCCUCUGGUUGAGAGAGGCCACUCCUCCCCAGGUGACAUGAAUGCAGAUGGGAAUGAAGCGACUUUCUUCAUGAUCAUUGACUGUUAUUGGGCCCCAUAGUGAGGCAGCAAGGAGACAGGAUGGG